rnacentral:tRNA from 1 species
UCCUCGGUAGCUCAACGGUGGAGCAUCCGGCUGUUAACCGGAGGGNNGAGGGUUGCAGGUUCGAAUCCUGCCCGGGGAGCCA